rnacentral:tRNA from 3 species
GCUCUGGUAGCCUAACCCAAGGCAUCGGUCUUGUAAACCGAAGAUUAGAAGUGAAAACCCUCUCCAAAGCA